CUCCCAAACUGACAGGCUCCACUUUUUCUUCAUCUUUGGAAGCAGUUGAUGGAUUAUCAACUGUCAUAUUAUGCUCUUUGGCAGUAGCUGUGAUAUCCACCUGGAAAGCCAAAAUUAUAAUGCUAAGUAGAGAUAUACAACAGAUUUUCCAUCUUUUGUAACAGAUAAGUCUUAUGUUGCAUCAGAUGGAUUAUCUGUUGGGACAAAUUCGAACAGGUAAAUCAGAGCAGUACGAUAAUUUUGACUAGAUGACCCAUCUGUUGCUACAUAAGACUCAUCUGUUGAAAUAGAUAACGAAUCUGAUGCAAUAGGUUAGACAACAGUUGCAACAGAUGUAUAUAUCUGUUUGAUAAUUUUUAGCAGAGGUAUCAUCUGUUGAAACAGAUAUCUGUCUGUUUGUUUUUUGGAACAGAUGAUGUACAUUCACCUUCUUUAGCUCAUGCUGCUCUUCUGUGGCCCUUGCACACUGAACAUCGGUGCAAGAUAAAGACAGAGGCAUUGCAAUCUUGCUUUUUUUGAUGAUUGAUAAUGUCUUGAAAGUGUCUUUCCUUCUCCUCUUAGCCGCCUUGAUCUCUAGUAGAGUGUAUGGAUAUGCAAUCCUCUUUCAUGGAAUGACACCCUUCUUAGAUGUCAUUUUCUUUACAGAAGCAGUUAGUGCAUUAAUAACAUUAAUCACUCAAUUGUGUUUCGCCUUGCAGUCUUGACAUUUGCAUGAAGAACAUUCGCUAGAUGCUGCAAAAUCUAGAGAAAAAUUUGUACAACCAUUAUGAUCAUAAUGAUAAUGGCUUGUUGUUUCAAAAACUGUAAAAGAAGCAUCAUUAGCCCCACCCUUUAAAAUUAUUUUUUUUGUGAUGGCUGUUGCUCCAAACAAUUCCAUUUUUAUUCCAUCAACGACCUUAGGGUCCGAUAAAGUUUGCACAGACCGUAAAGUAAGAAAAAAUAGCAUCUUCAACUUUCGGUUGGUCGGAACGAGCCACGGAUGGACAAUCUAAAAUAAAUUGGUACAUAUAUUAAGAAUGAUGAUGAAAUCAUUUAAUCAUUAAUUAAAACAAAAACUUGAUUAGAAUUAGACUUACUGCUUCCUUGGGGGGGUUGAAAAGACCAAGAAAUUUUGCAUUUUUAUCCGUUUUGGCCGACAACUAUCUCAGAAUUCUUGGACAGGAAACUUCUUCCUAGUAGUUCACUUGUUGUCUGAAAUAAGGAAUGGUUUCAAAUGCCCAAGCCUAUAACAUAAAGUCAAUAAAUCAAAAGCAUUAUCGAAUAAAAAAAUGAUAAAUCAUAUCAUGAUAAAAGAAAUAUUUACCAUGAAGGCCCAUGAAAAACCAUAUAAGUUGACUAUUUUUGGCGUUAACGGAGUCAACAAAUAUUCGACAGUCAUUUUGAAGCUUUCAUAACCCCAAAGAUAGCUGUUAAUGCCUCAAGAUCCUCGAAGAGAUUUAUUAAACAGAGGAUUAUGCUGUUGUUAACGUCUCUCGCCCAAAGAACAUUAUGUACAAAUCAAACCAAGCAUAAUGAUUGCUUGUGCUUCUUUGAAAGUCCUUUACCUUUCAACGCUUCUAUCAG
rnacentral:lncRNA from 1 species